AUUGAACGCUGGCGGCAGGCCUAACACAUGCAAGUCGAGCGGGGUUUUCGGACCUAGCGGCGGACGGGUGAGUAAUGCGUAGGAAGCUACCCGAUAGAGGGGGAUACCAGUUGGAAACGACUGUUAAUACCGCAUAAUGUCUACGGACCAAAGUGUGGGACCUUCGGGCCACAUGCUAUCGGAUGCGCCUACGUGGGAUUAGCUAGUUGGUGAGGUAAUGGCUCACCAAGGCGACGAUCCCUAGCUGGUUUGAGAGGAUGAUCAGCCACACUGGAACUGAGACACGGUCCAGACUCCUACGGGAGGCAGCAGUGGGGAAUAUUGGACAAUGGGCGAAAGCCUGAUCCAGCCAUGCCGCGUGUGUGAAGAAGGCCUUCGGGUUGUAAAGCACUUUCAGUAGGGAGGAAGAGUUGAGUGUUAAUAGUACUCAGCUUUGACGCUACCUACAGAAGAAGCACCGGCUAACUCUGUGCCAGCCGCCGCGGUAAAAC
rnacentral:rRNA from 1 species